rnacentral:misc_RNA from 1 species
UCAAAAUGUAAACUUCCGGUCACUCUUUGCUCUGUCUCACUUACACAAGGCGGUGACUUUUAAUCUGAGACUGACAGAACUCGCGGUGACCUAGCGUCCUGGACUUGAUGUAGUAGUUGUCCGUUAUAACCAGCUAGUCAUUACUGACAUGUCUCCCUCGUGACAACAGAUAGAUGGACUUUCCCUGGCUACUAACAUAAAGUAACAAUGAUUGUGGACUGAAAUAUUGCAACAGCAACAAAGAUGGAUGUCCUUGACACCCAAGACUACAGCCAGUUCGACAGCAUCAGCACCGACAGCAGCCCGCAGCAUCCAUCAGGGCACCGGAUGGAGAGGGGGUCUAUCCUGGAACCGCCCGUUGAUGACCAAGUCUAUUAUGUUUCAGAUGAUACAUAUGGAAUAUUUGCCAGUGGCCGUGACUAUGAGCCUGUGUACGUCACUCACAAGUACACAGAAAAGGAGAAGGAAACUCUAGCUUCCUUCGAGAGCUUGGAUUAUCUCCCCUCACACAGCUUCGUGUACAAACACUGGAUCAAGAGACAGCUCAUUACCAGGUUGGAGCUGGACCGAUGGCUGAUGAUGGGGAUGAUCGGCUUCGGAGUCGGCCUCAUUGGCUUCCUGCUUCAUCAGCUGAUUGAGGAGGUGGCCAAGUUCAAGUGGGAUACCAUACAGGGUUUCCUGGAUGACGAUAAGAUCGUUAUUGCCUGGUUGUUCGGUGUGGGCUACAGUAUCCUGUUCAUUGUCUUCAGCGCUGCAGUUGUUGUGUUCUGGAGACCAAGUGCAGGUGGCUCUGGCAUCCCUGAAGUGACCGGCUUUCUGAAUGGCACCAAUAUCCGCCAUAUCUUCAACCUCCAGACAAUGAUCGUCAAGUUCCUGUCAUGUGUGGCAGCCAUUGGUUGUGGGAUGCCAGUCGGCCCCGAGGGCCCAAUGAUCCAUUUAGGAGCCCUUGUUGGAGCAGGGAUGAGUCAGGCCAGGUCAGAGACACUCAGGAUCAAACUGCCAUUUUUCCAGCGGUUCCGGAACUCGGAGGACAGGAGAAACUUUAUCUCUGCCGGGGCGGCCGCAGGGGUGUCGUCAGCAUUUGGAGCGCCAGUAGGCGGGCUGCUGUUCGCGAUGGAGGAGGUGUCGUCGUUCUGGACCACGGCCCUGUCCUGGCAGAUCUUCUUCUGUUGUAUGAUCUCCACCUUCACCACCGAUCUCUUCAACUCCGCCUUCGAGGGAUUCAGCUACACCGGGGGUUUUGGCGAGUUCAAGCUGGAGAGAUAUAUUCUGUUCAACAUCAGUAAAGGUGUUAAUGUCAACAUCCUGAUGUUCAUCCCCACCGUCGUGGUGGGCGUCAUCGGUGGCCUCACCGGCGCCCUCUUCACCAUCAUCAACCUCAAGAUCACUCGCAGUAGAAAGAGACUCCUGUCCCGGAUUGCCAAAAGUUGGGGGCAGAAAACUUUCAGGCUUGUGGAGCCUGCAGUAAUAAUGGUGAUUGUGACUACCGUGGUGCUGUUCCUGCCAUCAGCCUUCUCCUGCUCGUCCUACAGAUGUAUAGAGGGGGCUACUGGCCCAGUUGUUUCAGACUGUUUAAAUGACACCCGCAAUGCGCUGCACAUCGAGUCAGCUGUAAAAACCUACACGUGUGUCCAGGGAGAGAAAUGGCAGGUCAACGAGACCACCUGGCACACCAAUGGGACUUACAAUGAAUUGGCCUCCUUGUUGUUUGGUACUCUGGAGACAGCCGUGAAGCAUCUGUUUUCUCGCGGGACCCACGUCCAGUUCGGCUACGCCACGCUGUUCACAGCCUUCCCCUACUUCUUCCUGGCCGUGUGCUGGUCCUCCGGCACCUCCGUGUCCUGUGGCAUGCUGGUCCCCAUGUUGUUGAUUGGAUCCUUAUAUGGUCGUAUUAUUGGUAUCGCCAUGGUUUCCAUGUUUGGAGUCCACUCUGAGACUACGGGCUACUGGGCGUGGAUGGAUCCAGGGGUCUUUGCUCUCAUCGGAGCCGCCUCCUUCUUUGGGGGCGUGUCCAGACUUACCCUGGCAGUCACUGUCAUCAUGAUGGAGCUGACUAACGAUGUGCAGGUUCUACUCCCGGUGAUGGUGGCGGUGAUGGUGUCCAAGUGGGUGGGAGAUUUCUUCACUCAUCCCAUCUUCCACGCCCACCUUGAGCUGAAGUGUAUUCCCUUCCUGGACACAGAGCCGCGGGUCAUGAACGAGGGGAAACUCCUUCAGUUGGAUCUGUUCUGCGCCCGAGAUAUCAUGUCGUCUCCUGUGGUGUCAGUCCACCAAGUGGAGUCUGUAGCUUCAUUAGCUGACAUGUUGCUAAGCAACUGUCAUGGUGGCUUCCCAGUGGUUAAAAGGGACAGGAACAAUGAAGAAGUUUUCUUCGGUUUAAUUACAAGGAAUGAACUGAUGGUGUUGCUGAUGCAUGAGGAGUUGUUUCAGUCGGACGACCACGUCGACUUCCACGAGGGUAACGACAUCACUUGGGUUGAUUACGAGAAGCUCCUGUUGGAGAAGAUGCCCAAACCAGAAGAUGCAGUAGACACAUUCAAGAGAUACCACGAGGACUCGAAAUACAGGGAUAUGUUUCUCAACUUGAACCCUUACAUCAACCAGUCAGCGCUCUCUGUGCAAGAGAAGUUCUCUCUUCAUCGGACGUACAUCGUGUUGAGGACACUCGGCAUGCGCCACCUGGUGGUGACAGAUGCAAUGAACAGGGUGGUCGGCUUCAUCACACGGAAGGACUUGAUGGGUUUCAGUAUUGAGGAGAAACUGAACUUAGUAAUGGAGAAACAGAUCGAGAUGCAGGAGCGUCUUCUACACGACCAGGAACUGCAUGGCUCCGAAUCGAUAUCAUAACAACCUGUCGUCAUUAGGAAAUGAGCAAUACAAGUGCUGUAUAACCAAUCAAAAGAGGAAAUAGUCUUUCUGAUUGAAUUUAAUCCAUCAAUUCCAAUGGAAUGGAAAAUAAAGACUGUUCAUUUUUGACAUAUAGUACUCAAAAGAAGUUAAGGAACACACAAUUCUCUCAUAUUACUGUAAAUCUUAAAAUUAAUGUGAGAGUGAAGUUAAUAUGAAAAAUACAAAAGGUCCUUUUCUCUCUACAAUUCCAAUGGGGUUGUGGGAGGUCGCAUGACAGAUUAACUUUAAUAAUAUGAAAGUAACUUCUUUGGAGUAGUAUAUAUAAAUAUAUAUAUAUCUUGAUGAGGUCAGGGUCAGAGGGACCUUGACAUUUGUAGUAAUAUGUUGAUAAACACUUAUGAUCAGAGUGACCUUGACCAAUAAUUUCUUGGUAAUAUUUGGGUUGAAUGACCUUGACUUUUGGUCAAGGUAAUGAUCAAAGUGACCUUGACCUUUAUGACAGCAGUCAGUGAGGUUAAAGUGACCUCAAUCUUUGUGUUGGUUUUUGGAUACACAAUGUGGAAUGAGUGAGAAAGGCAGUCUCUGAACAAAAGAAUGAUUGUAAAUGUUUUUAUACCUCACCAUGGUUAUUCCUAUAAGACAGUGGCAGUCCAUGUUGUUUGUGUUUGGUAGAAAUCUGCCAUCCAAUAGUUUGUUCUGAUUCUUUUUUUUUUCAGUGGUGGGGCAGCCUUGUGGUUAAAGCCUUCGCUCAUAACGCCAAAGACCCGGGUUCGAUUCCCCACAUGGGUACAAUGUGUGAAGCCCAUUUCUUGUGUCCCCCACCGGGAUAUUGCUGGAAUAUUGCUAAAAGUGGCGUAAAACUAUACUCACUCACUCAUUCACUUUUUCAGCCAACAUGUACAUACAUGAUAAGCAGCAUUAUCCACUGAAAAAUCAUCGACAAAUAUUGUGUGAAAGUGAUGAUCUUUUGAAGAGAAUAUCACGUUAAUGUUCCAUUUAUUAUUGGUCGGGAAACAAUGGUCAAAUUGUUCUCUGUCUGUAUCUGAAACAUCAUUGCACCAUUCAAUACUGACAUCAUUCCAUAUUCCGACCAGUAUAUGCCUGCUUCGUCUCUCUUUCAGACCCCAGGGCAUAUAUUUAAUAAAACAACACCCCCUUUCCUCACCCCAAUUCUCAGCUCUAGCAGCCUUUAUUCAUCCAUUUUUGUUAUAGUUCCUGAAUACUCAAGAAUUCCUUGUUGAUUUAGCUCAUUUUUACCUUAUACUUAGUUUUAUUAUGUGGUGUAAUCCCUGUCUAAAUGUCACGUUCUCUCUAUGUACAGCUGGGCAGGGGUGACUGAGUGGUGCUGACCGUCAUGUGUAGAGUUAUGGCCCUUAGUUCACAGGAUCUGCUAAUUGUAGGCUCUGAUCCAAAAUUUACCCUGAUCCUUAGUCUGGCAGGUCAAUACCACACUUACCAGCCAUUUGGGUUUGGGCAGGGUAUGAUAAGAUGCAUUAUGAUAAAGUGAAAUAUUUUACGAAUAUUGUCAAUGAACAUUGCCAGUAAUUUUUACUUAUUAUUGAUUUCACAAUCUGUCAUGGUGGGUGUGGCUCCUGUAGAGAUCAUGUUGGUUGAAAGAAGCAAUAUGUUGAUAUGACUAUGUGUAAGCCAGUAACAUCAUUCCUUUGUCACAUAGUUUCAGCUGGACAAGUUAAUAGAUCGUUAGAGUUCAGGCGAUUCAAUAUAAAAGAUGAUUAAUUUUGUACAAGAAAACAGCUUAUCAUGCUGAUGAAUUCUAAGAAAAUUUAAAUUACUUAUUUUAGGCCCCAGAUAUAAGAUAUUCCUAUUGGCCAGAAAUUGGUGAUGUUUCUGCAGUACCGGUGCUCAUGGAUGGCCCGAGAGAUAAAUGGGUCACUACCUGUGUCCUUGGUGCUGUCCUCCUUGAUAACCAAAUAAGGAUAUCAUAAAAUUCAUGGACCAAACAAAUAUUUUGAAUUAAUCGAACAUCAUUAAUGAUAGACUUUCUGAUUUGGUGAUAAAUGCAGAUGGUCCAUUUUCACGAACGCUAUAUACCUCUCUGGCUGAAGGUGUCCGAAACCGGAUGUUGAUAAUGCCAGAAUGUUUGAUGUCUCUGAUGAAGGUGUCAGAGACCGGAUGGUGAUCAUGCCAGAAUGUUUGAUGUCUCUGAUGAAGGUGUCAGAAAGUGGAUGUUGAUCAUGCCAGAAUGUUUGAUGUCUCUGAUGAAGGUGUCAGAGACCGGAUGGUGAUCAUGCCAGAAUGUUUGAUGUCUCUGAUGAAGGUGUCAGAAACUGGAUGGUGAUCAUGCCAGAAUGUUUGAUGUCUCUGAUGAAGGUGUCAGAGACCGGAUGGUGAUCAUGCCAGAAUGUUUGAUGUCUCUGAUGAAGGUGUCAGAAACCGGAUGUUGAUCAUGCCAGAAUGUUUGAUGUCUCUGAUGAAGGUGUCAGAGACCGGAUGUUGAUCAUGCCAGAAUGUUUGAUGUCUCUGAUGAUGGUGUCAGAGACCGGAUGGUGAUCAUGCCAGAAUGUUUGAUGUCUCUGAUGAAGGUGUCAGAAAUCGGAUGUUGAUCAUGCCAGAAUGUUUGAUGUCUCUGAUGAAGGUGUCAGAGACCGGAUGGUGAUCAUGCCAGAAUGUUUGAUGUCUCUGAUGAAGGUGUCAGAAACUGGAUGUUGAUCAUGCCAGAAUGUUUGAUGUCUCUGAUUAAGGUGUCAGAAACCGGAUGUUGAUCAUGCCAGAAUGUUUGAUGUCUCUGAUGAAGGUGUCAGAAACCGGAUGUUGAUCAUGCCAGAAUGUUUGAUGUCUCUGAUGAAGGUGUCAGAGACCGGAUGUUGAUCAUGCCAGAAUGUUUGAUGUCUCUGAUGAAGGUGUCAGAAACCGGAUGUUGAUCAUGCCAGAAUGUUUGAUGUCUCUGAUGAAGGUGUCAUGGGACACAGUUGUUAUGUUGAUAUGUUUUGUGCAAUAUGAAUGGCAUUCUCAUAUUCUUGUUC